rnacentral:rRNA from 1 species
UACGUAGGGGGCAAGCGUUGUCCGGAUUUAUUGGGCGUAAAGAGCGUGUAGGCGGCCAGAUAGGUCCGUUGUGAAAACUGGAGGCUUAACCUCCAGCUGUCGAUGGAAACCAUCUGGCUAGAGUCCGGAAGAGGAGAGUGGAAUUCCUGGGUGUAGCGGUGAAAUGCGCAGAUAUCAGGAAGAACACCCGUGGCGAAGGCGGCUCUCUGGGACGGUACUGACGCUGAGACGCGAAAGCGUGGGGAGCGAACAGG